CACUGCCAAACCAGUUUGGAAUCUGUGCAUCAAGUAAUAGAUAACAUAUGUUAUCGUAUGAAAUACAAGUAAAAGAAGCGAUAGAAAGCAAGUCUCGUAAUUAUUAUCCCUCUCCAAGAAACAUGUGCUAACAAAGAAUUAAGAUGGAGAAAAAGAAAGUAGCAAGGAUGAGUUCAAAAUACAUAGAUGAUAUUCAUUAUAAGUGCAGGAGCUCAAGCUAAAAAUAGGGAAAGUUCAAGCAAAAAACUACAAUCAAAAGAAUGGACAAAUUCUUACAUGCUAACAGGUACCAUAUGAUAAUUCUCAGCAAAUUAGCAUAAGUAGAUAAAGCAUACCAGAAAACUUGUGAAUUGAUCAGG
rnacentral:misc_RNA from 1 species